UGCAUUGUGUGGGGUUAAUCCAGUUGCCUUGAUGUGGCAGAGUCGAAAGUGUAAAUCUUUUUAAUGCUU
rnacentral:tRNA from 1 species